GCCGAGGUAGCUCAGUUGGUUCAGAGUGCUCGACUCAUAAUCGAGAGGUCGGGGAUUCGAAAACGUGGUGUAAAAACGUUGCGGAAAUUCCCCCCUCGGCA
rnacentral:tRNA from 1 species